rnacentral:lncRNA from 1 species
AGAGCAAAAAAAACAAGGCAUCAGUAUUGUUGAGUAUUAGCUUGUACCUGGUUCGGAGGCUAAGUUUGCGGGAGAAAGCAGGGGUGAGCCACGGUGGCUGCCUGGCUGUGCACCGGGGCCGGAGGUUGGACCAAGACAAAGACAGGAGCUGUCCGCGGUGCUGAAUCGGCGGCGCCGCCGCCGGGGCAAGAGGGCUUCUGUAACCAGCCCUCUGCUCAUUCGCUCCCCAUCCUUCUAACUCCCCUUCGCUCUGUGACUCUUGCCUUCCCCUGAAUUUAUUUCCCUUUUGGGGGGCUCACCUUAGGAUCUGCGCCCUGUACACAGGUGUAUAUACAUAUAUCAAAGAACAAAACGAUUGAUUGAAAACGGUGUCUUCUCCUUUCUUCCCAAAUAAAUGAUGCUAGAAAGGUUUAUUUUAACUGUACUCUAAAAUGGAGAGAAACGGACAUUUCCACUCCUAAAUAAAUGAAAAUUCGUGUUAAAAACAAUGCAACUAACCUAUAACAAAUGCCAAGAAUCUGCCCUCUGAUUUAUUCCGAUAAAGAGGCAAGGGGUUUAGAAAUUUUAGUUUCGGGAAUAUCAUAUCCCUGGCAUCUUAACUUCUUGGGUAGAAAAAAUAAGAGCUGGAGGUGGGGGGGAUUGGUGAUGAACAGACUAAGGCACCUGCCUACGUGAAGAAAGAUGGCUUGUGAAGGCCAAAGUGAUGGACAUGAAGUUGACUUAACCCUUUGAGACAGAGAUGAGAUCUGUAAGGAUGUCAAUCUUCAGGAUCAGUAGUAAGAGGGAAGUGAUUCCUUUGGAAAGUUUGGGUACAAAAGAGUUAAUCUGGUGCUUAAUUUUCUAAAUGUUCAUGGUGUUACCUAGACACCUGGCAUGGUGCCUAACCAAGUGUGUUCCUGUGUUCAAAUUAGUAUGCAGUACUUGCCUAAAUAAGUAUGUGCAGGGUAGAAAAAAAAUCACAUUUUCCCUCCCUCGUGAGGGAGCACCCAUUUUAGUGCACGGAGAGCUGUGUAUGUUUCCUCUGGCAUCUCAUAGAUACACUGUCUCCCACAGAGCCCAGAUGCUUUAGGGCCACAUCUUCAUUUUGUCUUCUCAGCACCCUCCAGGCCUCCCCACUACAGGGGUGUCAGCUAUGCCCAGUCGUUAGGAUUGCCAAUACAUAUGAAGGGGGAGGGGUACUUAUGAGUCCAGUGGAAUACAAUAACUCCGGCUCCCUACCUGAACAUUGUAGAGCUAAUUUGCCCAUAAAAGCAGAGGAACCAGAAUUCUCAAACCCAAAGGAUUUGCAAUAAAGGGUUGUAUCUUUGGGUUAGGGGAGUGAGACUCCAGUUUCUCCAGACCCUAACUCUUAUCUUUUCAUGUAAACACCCUUAGAUCUUUAAUUAGGACCAAGGUGGUCACUCUUUUGGACCAUGCACCUCUAUCGCUCUCAGAAUGCAGAGCCACAUGGUACUGGGAGAGACGUCUUGACCUUGGGUGUCUCUCAAACAAAAAAGAUACAUUUUGUUUAAAAACCAUUUAUUUCAUGAUCAUUCUGCGCAUCUGGUUCCUUGGUCUUCAUUGCAAAUCUAAAAAUUAGUAGAUAUAGAUCAUGGUCCUAUUUUAUGGGUGAGGAAACUGAGGGCCCAGAAAUGCUUAUUAAGUUGCUUAUAGGUAUGCUGUGAAGGCCUGUGAUUCUAACCCAGACCUCACUGGCUUUGGAGACUGUGCUUACUCUAAUAACCCAUGAUAUUACAGCCACACAGACGGUUACAUUGUGGUUACAAUGGUGUAUAUAUAUAUAUUUUUUAGCACAGUCCCAUUGAAUUCCCUGGACCUCAUGGUCUGUGGUCUAGACUUGAAUUUAGCUUAAGUCCUAAAUUUGAAAAGAAGGAGUGAAAAUGGUGAGGACAGAGGCUCUCAUUUCAUGUGGGUUGGGUGGGCAUUUCACAGAAUGGGACCAGCUUAAUGUGAAAAUCUCUUGGACCCACACUUAGGAGUCAUCCUUGAUUUCCCCUUUCUCUCCUGCCUCACAUACAAUCCACCAGCAAGUUCAGUUAGCUCUGCCUCCAAAAUAUAUUCCAACCCAUCUAAUUCUCAUCUUCUCCUCCAUUAUCACCCCGGUGCAAGCCACUACCAUCUCAUCUGUUUUAUAGCAGUAGCCUCCUGACCGGGCUCCCUGAUUCUUCUAUCCUUGCCCUCGUCUGUAAUCUGCUCUCCACACUAUAACUAAACUUAUAUUUUAAAAUCAUAAAUCAGGUUUUGUCAUUCUGCUUUUAACCCUCCAACAACUCCCCAUUGCACUUAGAAUAAAAUCCAUACUCCUCACCCUGGUCUGCAGGGCUCCUUGUGAUUGGUUUUUGCUCACCUCGCCCCCACCCCCGCUGUGGCUCACACAGACCUAGUUUUUCUCACCUCAAGACCUUUGCACUUGGCUUCCCCUCUGCCCUCAGAUUCUUACACGGUUGGCUCCCUUUUGUCAUUUAGAUCGCAGCUCAAAUGUCAACUCUUCGAAGAAACCUCUCCUGACCACCUUGUCUAAAAGCACACCAUCCCCAGUCACUGUCUAGCCCUCCUCUCUGUCUAUUUUCUUUGUAGCUUUUAUCAAUAUCUAGAAUUAUUCUAUUUAUAUGUUUAGGUGCAUAUUGUCUGUAUUUCUUAAUAAAAUAUCAGUUCCAU